rnacentral:rRNA from 1 species
GACGAACGCUGGCGGCGUGCCUAAUACAUGCAAGUAGAACGCUGAAGGAGGAGCUUGCUUCUCUGGAUGAGUUGCGAACGGGUGAGUAACGCGUAGGUAACCUGCCUGGUAGCGGGGGAUAACUAUUGGAAACGAUAGCUAAUACCGCAUAACAGUAGAUAUCGCAUGAUAUCUACUUGAAAGGUGCAAUUGCAUCACUACCAGAUGGACCUGCGUUGUAUUAGCUAGUUGGUGAGGUAACGGCUCACCAAGGCGACGAUACAUAGCCGACCUGAGAGGGGUCGCGGCCACGCUGGGAGGGGAACCCGGCCCAGCCCCCCAGGGGGGGCAGAAGGAGGGAAUCUGCGGAAAGGGAGGGAAUCCGGACGGAGAAACGCCGGGUGAGGAAGGAGGGUUUUGGUAUCGUAAGGCUCUUUUGAAGGAGAAGAAGGAGGGGGGGGGUGAAAAGUUCACCCUGGGACGUUAUCUUACCAGAAAGGGACGCCUAACUCCGUC